AGUGAACGCUGGCGGCAGGCCUAAUACAUGCAAGUCGAACGGCAGCACGGCAGAGCUUGCUCUGUGGGUGGCGAGUGGCGGACGGGUGAGGAAUACAUGGGAAUCUGCCCAGUCGUGGGGGAUAACGUAGGGAAACUUACGCUAAUACCGCAUGCGCCCUUCGGGGGAAAGCCGGGGGACCUUCGGGCCUGGCGCGAUUGGAUGAGCCCAUGUCGGAUUAGCUAGUUGGCGGGGUAAUGGCCCACCAAGGCGACGAUCCGUAGCUGGUCUGAGAGGAUGAUCAGCCACACUGGAACUGAGACACGGUCCAGACUCCUACGGGAGGCAGCAGUAGGGAAUAUUGGACAAUGGGCGCAAGCCUGAUCCAGCCAUGCCGCGUGAGUGAAGAAGGCCCUCGGGUUGUAAAGCUCUUUUGUCCGGAAAGAAAGCGACCGGGUUAAUACCCUGGUGUCCUGACGGUACCGGAAGAAUAAGCACCGGCUAACUUCGUGCCAGCAGCCG
rnacentral:rRNA from 1 species